GAAAUAAUUUCCCCACAUUAUAAAUUUCAUGAAAUAUUGAAUUGUAAUCCCCCAAAUGAAUUGUUAUACCAACCGUUGCAUUUGAAUAUCAUUGCAACCUCCGCGGCGGAGCCGCAUAAUGUUCACACAUUUUUCUCUCUCGCACCCAAGAGGUGAUCUCUUUACUGUUACCCUUCCCGAGCUGAUUGUGUGAAAAAAUCUCCAAAUUUGUUAAAUGAGAAAUUAUAAAAUUAUCCAAUAAAAUUAACUCUGUGAUUCAAAUAAAGUUGGUGGUGGUGACAAAAAGUGCCGUGUUUCACUGGAAAUUGGGAUCAAGGAUCCAGGAGGAUCCUACAAGGAGUUGCGGCUACUUUUCUUCCCCCCACGUGUGGCAACGUGCGUUCUUCUGGGGAUUUUCCGUGCUCAUCUGGCGACUGGGAAAUUUUUUGCUCCUCCCUCACCGGACCCUAAUCAAUGUAUCUUUAUACAGGUGAGCUAAGGGAGUUUGUGCCGAAGGAAUCUAUGCUGAGUACUAAUUCAUUUGUCCACUGCUCUACCACAUAUACUCAUUAGGUAACCCACCUACAUUUUUGGUCGUCUUCGAUCCGGGAAACUCAGCGCUACAUUUUUGAUCGACAAAGAUCCGGUACGUUGAGAACUCCAUUGCCUGCGCAGCAUAGAACCAGUGGCCAUUCCCAUCUCUUGCGGUGUUGCAUCCGAGCAUUCAAGAUGAGUCUGAUUGAACGUGAAGGAAUCAUCAAGGCACUCUCCAAGACGGAAUCCUUCGUCAGUGGCUUAUCGUCUGCAGAUACGGCCUACCUUGACCGUAAAGUCCUCCAAAUGCAAAUCCAUCAGGUCAACAACCUCCAAGCAAAGUUCGAGAGCGUGCAAGAUGACAUCAUCAGCCACAAGACUGGCAAAGGGAAAGACCAUGAAGCGUCUUUCAAGCACUCAGUCUUGAUGCGCUGCGCCAAAAUCAUCCAAGAUACGACUCACUUGUUGACGUUCUACCCAAAGGAGGAACCCUGUACAGACACUUCGCCUUCUGGAACCCUCUGUAGCCUCAUGAGGGAGAUGAUUCAGCAGAACAACCAGUUCCUCGCCAAGCUCAACGCAACCGCAAGUACAACCACUCCUAUUGAUAGUCGCUCCUUAAGACUCCCUCAAAUUGAAUUGCCCAAAUUUUCCGGUGAAUAUUGUGAGUGGAUUCCUUUCAAAAACCGAUUCAAUUCCUGCAUUGCCAAUAUCCCCAAUUUAUCAAAAGUCCAGAAGCUUGAUUACCUGAAAGCUUCCCUAAGUGGAGAUGCCGCCUCUACAAUUGGUUAUCUCCCUACCACCGAAAACAAUUUUGAUGUAGCUUGGGAACUCUUAAGAAAUCGGUUUGAAAUAAAUUCUGAAACCAUCGCUGGGCAUAGUCGUAACCCUUGCGACAUGCCAUCCGUCUCCCCCUCUGAUCCAAGUCAGCGAUGCAUCAAUGCCACUCAUACAGCUACCACAUCUGCGAAAUCCAAUUCGCGCUCACAUCCUUCCGCUGGCAAUUCAUCCAAGGAAUAUGCCAAUGAUUUUCACACAACAGCGGCAGCAUCUAAAUGCCAGUGCUGCGAUCAAUUCCCUCAUCCACUGUACAAGUGCCCCCAAUUUCUUGCACAGAAUCCGGAUGAGAAAUAUGAGACAGUCAAGACACUCAACCUGUGUAGAAACUGUCUCGCUCCACAUCUUACUCGCACUUGUACCUACCGCAAGUGUCGCAGGUGCCAAGGCCGGCACAACCUACUCCUACAUGAUAAGUUCGUGGGUGAGUCUGCUGCCAACCCGCCGGCUCAGAUACCAACGCCUUCGGCUAUCAUUCCUCCGUCUGUUGCCCAUCAGCCUGCGCCAACUCCUGGUGUGCCAGCACCAAACCACUCUUCGGCCCUUUCCGCGUCCGCCGUGUCCGAACGCACUCUCCAACCUGGCCCAAGAGUAUCCUGUGCCACAGCCAUGGUGGAUGAGCUCACUGUCAGCGGGGAGAAGAUUUCUUGCCGUGCUCUCCUUGACAGUAGAGUCCCAAUCUGCAUCAUAACGUCCAAUUUGCUCCAGAAAUUGAAGCUUCCGAAAUCCCCUUCGGAAAUCUCUGUUGUGGGCAUAGGCAACCAGGCGAACUCAGUGAAACACAAAGUCACUGCCACUCUAUCCUCACAAAGAAACAAUGUUUCCCACUCAUUCAACUGCAACAUACUUCCGGAAAUCUCAGGCAACAUUCCAACUUGGGAUGUGGAUACCAAUACAAUGCAUCCACCACUGCACUUCCCCUUUGAUGAUCCAGAUCGGAAUGUUUCUCGUCCUGUCUAUUUGAACAUCUGCAGUGAAUCGUAUCGGGCCAAUUGGGUGUCCGACAUUUUCUAUCUGGGCUCCAGUCUUCCACCCCUCCGGGAGAUUUUCCACGGCUAUGUGAUCGUAGAUGAGCACAAACCUCCUCCACAGGUCCAGGAUGUUCAUCACGUCAGUAGCACUCCAAUCCUAGAAGAAAUGUUGUGCACAUCCGGGGAGCUUGAAGAACCACCGGAUGAGGCUUCCGUUAUGAACCAGCAGUUGCAACCCGGUGCUCACUUCUCCAGAACCUACCAGAGGUUUGCUGUGAGAAGAUUCAAUGUGAGAUUGCCCGUCAGGAACCAACCUGACCCUCUGAAGGUUUUCUGUCCACAAUCCGUGCGACAAUUUCUGGCACUGGAGCGCCAGGUGAACGAAAAGCCUCCCUUCAACAUACUGUACGUCGAAGUGAUGAGCCACCGUGUGAAGAAGAAAUGGCUAUGGUCAGUUUCUUUACCAGAUUCCAAGAUUCUCAGCUACUUCAUGUCUCACCAGGGGAUGAUGACCGAAUCCAGCACAACUACUGAGUUGAGAAUGAUGCCCAACGUCUCUGCAAAAUUAUCUUCUGACUACAGUUUGAGUGACCUAACUCCAAUAGGUCCCAUGGUCUUCCCUGACCACGCCGUCACCUUUCUGAGGUUCCGCCUCCAUCUGCAUUCAAAGACGGCAGACAUCUUGAAGAUGGAUCCCGAAGACUACAAUUUCCAUCAACUGAUGUGGCAAUCCUUCGUAGAUGACACACUUCGAGACCGCUACAUUCCCAAGGCCUGUUGUGAGGUAGCAUCGCCGCUACAUGUGAUCUUACGUGCACUCGUUCAACUAUUUGAUGGCCACAACGCUGAAGUCCCAUUAGCUUCCAGCAUAGUGCGAUUCCUCUUAUAUGUUGACGACACCACUCCAACCACAUUCAGUCUCAAUGGGGAUUCCAUCAUGAACCAUUUGAACUUCCAAACUUCCGUGUAUGCUUACAUGGAGAUACACUCGAGGAGAACUUUGGCUCCUGCCAUUGCCCAACUCUUCAAUCCCUACAGCCUGAUAGGCUCCUUCAUCAUAGAAGCUUCAGUCAUGCUUCAAUGUUUGCACCAACUCAUAUUCGAAUGGGAUGAAUACUUAUCCAGGAAAAUCCUUCACCACUGGAACACUUUUGCCAAAGGACUACCAGUCGUCCAAUUCAUCUCCAUUCUCCUGUGGAUUUAUUUCCUCCAACAAUUAUCUUGCAUUGUGCUUCACGUCUGUGGUGGUACAACCAGAAGUACUUCAUCAGGAGACACUCUACGUGGGAUUUAUCUUCCUCAAGAAUCUCACAAAGUGGUUGCCUUCAACCACAUCCGAACCUCCAUUUGUAUUGAACAAUUGCAUCAUGUGGAAAUAGACCAAAUUUCUGCCGAGUCGAUUUCCCGGGGAGCUUCGCCAUCUGAUCCUCAACGCAACAAUCUCUGGUGGAAAAAUCCAGAGUGGCUUCAGCAUCCUGGAAAUCAACAGACUGCUCCAUCCAUUCAUUCAAAAGUGCUCCAUUGCUUCAUCACAGUGUUGAACCAAUUGGAGGACAAAUUUAAAGGGUUUAUUUACAACCACUGUUCAUUGUUCAAAAUUCCCAAACCGGUUCUCCAAUGUUUACAUUUUUUCAAUGCGAGAUCAAAUUCCCAAUCCACACAUGGUGCCGCUAUCGUAGUAGAUGCGAUAAAAGCCCAAAGCUUCUCCCCAUUCACCAAACAAUAUGGUCCCGUUAGAAGUGGAGAUAUGUUCAUCAGUGCCACCAUCCCAUUCACAACUCAUGAUCCAUUCAAAUAUCUCCAACCCAAAUUCAAUCCACCUUACCAUGAGGACCAUCACAAUAUCCUUCAAGGACACAAGGGAUUCUCCCGUAGGAUCGCAUAUAGUUCUGGCAAGGAUGCAUCUUGGAUACACCAUGCCAGCCCGGGGAGAAUGUUCCCGUGCCAGUGAGCACAUGAAAAUCCCAAUGAUAUUUUCCCUUUAAAUUGCUGAAAUAAUUUCCCCACAUUAUAAAUUUCAUGAAAUAUUGAAUUGUAAUCCCCCAAAUGAAUUGUUAUACCAACCGUUGCAUUUGAAUAUCAUUGCAACCUCCGCGGCGGAGCCGCAUAAUGUUCACACAUUUUUCUCUCUCGCACCCAAGAGGUGAUCUCUUUACUGUUACCCUUCCCGAGCUGAUUGUGUGAAAAAAUCUCCAAAUUUGUUAAAUGAGAAAUUAUAAAAUUAUCCAAUAAAAUUAACUCUGUGAUUCAAAUAAAGUUGGUGGUGGUGACAAAAAGUGCCGUGUUUCACUGGAAAUUGGGAUCAAGGAUCCAGGAGGAUCCUACAAGGAGUUGCGGCUACUUUUCUUCCCCCCACGUGUGGCAACGUGCGUUCUUCUGGGGAUUUUCCGUGCUCAUCUGGCGACUGGGAAAUUUUUUGCUCCUCCCUCACCGGACCCUAAUCAAUGUAUCUUUAUACAGGUGAGACGUUACCUGGAGCUAUUCAUUGAGGGUGAAGAUUCUUAUUCUUUUCUUCUGUAUUCCCAUACAAAGGUA